rnacentral:rRNA from 1 species
AUGCGACUAGUCAUGGAGAACUCCCCUCUCCUACGCUUCAUCUCACUCACUGUCCCACUAGCCAUGUUUCUCCAGGCCAUGGCAGUGCCGUCUCUCCAAGAACAAGCAGGAGCCCUCCUUGCCUGGAAAGACACACUAGAAAGCCACCCUGCCCAGCUUCAAUUCUGGGGAAUGGGAAACAACACUAACUGGCCCUGCAGCUGGUACGGCAUCGAGUGCAGCAAGUACCAGGCAACGCACCAAGAGGUGAUCACCAAGAUCUCUCUACGUGGGCUGCGGCUGAGAGGGGAGCUCGACGCCCUCAACUUCACGGCGUUGGCGACCCUGACGAGCAUCCAACUCUCGCACAACAGGCUCACCGGGAGGAUCCCUCCCGGCAUUGUGUCACUCAGAGAGCUCCGGUUCCUGCUUCUUCAACGCAAUCAGAUAAGGGGCCCUUUAUCACCUGCUUUAGCAUCCUUGAAAAACCUACGGUGCUUAAUGCUCCAGGAGAAUAAACUCUCUGGUGAAAUACCAAGGCAAAUAGGAGAACUAGAGAAUCUUGUUUCGCUUAACUUAUCUGCCAAUCACUUGUCUGGUCCCAUCCCCAGUGAAAUAGGGUACCUAAAGAAGCUUGUCUGGUUAGGUCUUGUCAACAACAACCUCAUAGGCCCUAUUCCAAGAACUUUAGGGAAUCUCACUAAACUCACCAUCUUGUACCUUGGAGGAAAUUAUUUAUGUGGAUAUCUUCCUCCAGAACUAGGUUACCUGCUAAAUUUACGAGAGAUGUCCCUUAAUGUAAAUGAACUCAUGGGUUCCAUCCCUAAUACCUUUGGGAGUCUAAAUAACCUCACUCACUUGUAUCUCUGGGAGAACAAACUUUUUGGGCCUAUUCCUCCAGAACUAGGUUACCUGGUGAAUUUAGAAGGGUUGGAUCUUAGCAUCAACAAACUCUUUGGUUCUAUCCCUAAUACCUUUGGGAAUUUGGUUAAACUCACUAGCUUGCACCUAAGGGAUAACCAUCUUUCUGGAUUUAUUCCUCCAGAACUAGGCUACUUGGUGAAACUAGAAGAUCUGGUUAUUAGCAAUAACACAAUCAUGGGUUCCAUCCCGGAUACCUUUGGAAAUUUGACUAAGCUCACUACCUUGCAACUCAGUGAUAAUCAAUUGUUUGGACAUAUCCCUCGAGAAAUCGGCAACUUAACAAAUCUUGAGAAACUCGAGCUCUCCAAUAACUACCUCUCCGGUCCUCUGCCACCCAAUUUGUGCAUCAGUGGCCAGCUAAAGAAUUUAACUGCAGAAGAUAAUUACCUGAAUGGAUCUUUGCCAUCAAGCUUGUUAAACUGUACAAGCCUGGUCAGAGUUCGUCUUGAAAUGAAUCAACUAGAAGGAGAUAUUUCUGCGAUGGGAGCUCAUCCAAAUCUAGUGUACAUAGAUAUGAGAUCAAACAAAUUAUUUGGUCAAUUAUCUUAUAAAUGGGGGGAGUGUCGUAAACUUAACAAACUAAGUAUCUCAAACAACAACAUCACGGGUAAAAUACCCACAAGUAUGGGGCAGCUGUUUGGACUAAGGAUACUUGAUCUUUCAUCAAACAAGCUUGAAGGGGAGCUUCCAAGAGAACUUGGCAAUCUUAAAAAGUUAUUCCACCUGAACCUCGCAGACAAUUCGCUCCAUGGAAGCAUACCACAAGAAUUUUGGGCAUUGUCCAGUCUGGAGUUUUUAGAUUUGUCAUCAAAUUACCUAAGCGGUUUGGUACAAGGAUCAAUUGAGAAUUGUUUAAUGCUUCGCUCAUUUAAUUUGAGACAAAAUAACUUCAGAGGAAGCAUCCCUUCCAUGUUAGGGGUGUUGCACAACUUAAUGGACAAGUUGGAUUUAAGUGAAAAUUCAUUUAGUGGGGCAAUACCAAGCCAACUUAGUAGUCUAACCAUGCUAGAAACUUUGAAUCUUUCAAACAAUGAACUUAGUGGCUUGAUCCCAUCGUCAUUUAAGAGAAUGGAAAGCCUGACAUUGAUUGAUUUAUCUUAUAAUGAAUUAGAAGGGCCAGUACCAGAGAGUAAACUCUUCCGAGGAGCUCCAAUCCAAUGGUUCAUGCAUAAUAAGAUGAUAUGUGGUGUUGUGAAAGGAUUGCCCCCUUGUAGUAGUCCAACCCAGAAUGGAGGGAAGAUGAAAGGAUACAAAACACUUGCACUAGCCAUGGUUACUACUACGAUAUGUCUUGUUCUUGUUGUAUAUAUAUUGGUGUUCCGACAUGAGAGGAACAAAUCAAAGUCAAUUGUCAAUUCUAGAGUUACACAAGAAAAAGUAUUCUCUAUUUGGAGUUUUGAUGGGGCAAAUGUGUUCAAGCAAAUUGUGGAAGCAACCAACAAUUUUAGUGAGACCCAUUGCAUUGGAACAGGGGGAUAUGGAUCUGUCUACAAAGCUAGAGUUUCAGCAUGUGAAAUAUUUGCGGUGAAGAAGAUACACACGAUACAAGAUGACUGUUGUGUGAACGAGGCAAUGUUCAAUUCUGAAAUAGAGGCAUUGGUGCGGAUUCGACAUCGAAACAUCGUCAAACUAUUUGGGUAUUGUUCCUCUAGACAAGGAAGGUUCCUUAUCUAUGAAUAUAUGGAUAGAGGUGACUUAGCGGAAAUAUUGAGAUCCAAUGCAAGAGCAAUCGAGUUAGACUGGAGAAGGCGGAUACAUAUUGUACUGGACGUGGUUCAUGCUUUGGCAUACAUGCAUCAUGAUUGUUCGUCACCAAUAGUCCACAGAGAUAUAACGAGCAACAACAUUUUGCUUGAUCUGGAAUAUCGAGCUUGCAUUUCGGACUUCGGUACUGCUAAAAUUCUCGAUAUUGAUGGCCAGAAUAUUACAAGGCUUGCAGGGACAAAAGGCUAUCUUGCCCCAGAGCUAGCAUAUACAGACAAUGUGACAGAGAAAUGUGAUCUAUAUAGCUUUGGAGUGCUUGUUUUGGAGUUAUUUGCAGGAUGCCAUCCAGGUGAUUUGCUCUCAUCCCUCUCAUUGAGAACCAAAAAUAAUGAUGUUUACUUAAAGGAUCUGCUGGACUUGAGGCUCGUGCUACCAGAUGCCGCAACCACUAGAGAAAUAUACUCCAUGCUCAGGGUUGCAGUUCAAUGCCUUGAGCCGAGUCCAUCACGCAGACCAACGGCACGGCAUGCCAGUGACGAGUUAUCAACGAUUAAAGCAUGUGCAAAUCAUAUUGAUUUUAUACAUGCUAGGCUCAUCAUUCCUACACAGUAG